rnacentral:lncRNA from 1 species
GCUUCUAGUAGGCCAAACUCCCAGGUGACCCCCGCAAGAAACGCGGUCCGGAGAGGGUCUGGCCCCACUGCUGGGGCAAGGGCUCUAGGCGCCCGGACCCCACGCCCGCAGCCUGCGGAGAACGUGCCGACAAGGACCUGUAGGGCCCCACUCCCCCUCCUCCCUCCCUCGGCGCAGCCCGGCCCAGGGGUCUGUCCUCCCAGGCCCAGGAAAGGAGGAAACCCACUUCCGCCGCGUCCAUGAUCUCCCGCGGCUUCUCCUGACUCUUGCGGCUGGCGCUGGCGCUGGGCAUCGGGACACGGAACUGGGCAGUGGACACCACCCUCCCUCGCAGGCUUCCAGUGUUCUUUCUUGGAACCAUCUGCCAAGCUGUGAGGAAGCUCCAGAGCCAUAUGACAAGACCUGAUGGAGGAUAACUGAGGACUUUGGCCAACAACCCCAGCUGAGCUCCAGUUGGAAUGUGAAUGAGGCCAUUUUGAGUGUUCCAGCCUAUUGGAGCCCUAGCCAACACUCUACAAACUAGAACUGCCUGAUUGACCCGCAGAAUCAUAAGAAAUAAAGUAAUUUGAAGGCCUUCCCUGACUUAAAGUGGAUGCUGCUUUGGAAAGCACUGGAAAAAUGGAUCCUGUCUUUCUUAGCCAAGGACUGGUCUCUUUUCUCCAAUGUGUCCCUAACAGAGUGGUGAGGCUGGCUCUUCCCACCAGUACAGGAAGAUCAUUCCUUAAAAGAAAUAGCCAUAUGGCUUAUAAGGGACUAUAUCUUAAGACUAUGUGUCUUCUGCAGUUCUUUGCAUAGAGUCAACGUUGAAGGACAAGCAACUUCAAAUUUCCAAGCAACAAAAUUAUGUUCGGGUGGUUUUCUGAAAGCGAGAUCUUAAGAACCACCUGUAUCAGAAUCCCAUGAAGAGCUUGUUUAGUGUGCAAAUUUACAGAUUGUCCCCCCUCAGAAAUGCUCAUUUAGGAGUUCCUGUCCUUUGCGGGGACAUGGAUGAAGCUGGAAACCAUCAUUCUCAGCAAACUAACACAGGAACAGAAAACCAAACACUGCAUGUUCUCACUCAAAAGUGGGAGUUGAACAAUGAGA